rnacentral:lncRNA from 1 species
GAAGUCCAAAGCUCGAUAGUAGUAAAAGCCCAAAAGCACCGGUCCGGUAUAAUCACUCCUGCUCAUCGGUCUCACCUGAAAGGGGAAAAAAGGAGGGGUGAGCGACAGGGGAAUCACCCAGUGAGAUAUGGGGAUGCUAAACCGCAAACCACUGACUGAGUUCAUAGCACUACUAAAAUGUAGGCCUAGCUCUAGCAUGAAACAAACACGGCGUCUAUUACACCACACAAAACAAUCAACAUAUGUCUAGUGGACUAGACAUGCUACAACCAAUGCGAUAAUAGCAUACCGCAUUUCCUUAUAAGGAUAUAAUUAUAUAUGACUCUACAAGCGUCGUAAGUACAGUAGUCCACUCUGUACCCCCGCAAUCUCCACAAACAAAGCGGCCUAGUACAAACGUCUCUGUACCCCGCUAAACACACGGCCUAGUACAGAUAUCUCCGUACCCCGCGAUCUCUCAAACAAAACGGCCUAGUACAAACGUCUCUGUACCCCGCUAAACACACGGCCUAGUACAGAUAUCUCCGUACCCCGUGAUCUCUCAAACAUGCGGCCUAGUGCAAUCACCUCUGCACCCCGCAAUCUCAACACAUGGACUAGCAUAUAUAAAUAUAUAUAUAUUUAACAGUUCUUAACAUCAAUCAUUUCAAUCAACCGUUGAAUCCUCUAUUAUCCUAUUUCCGGUUUAACAAUCAAUAUCAAUAAUGAACAAGCAAGACUCUCAAACAGACUCGAUUCACAAAGACGGAUCAUGUUUCGAAACUAAACUUUCCAUAAUGGUAGUACUAAACUAGUUCGGGAUUUAAACGGAGAAGCCCUCACCUUAGCAACAAAAAGACGUGGUAUCUAUGAACUCCAGCUGCUCAAAUAGACUCCAUAUCUGAAAUCAGAUCGAAAUUCUGAGUCAGGACGCCUUUCGAACGGUUAAAAACGGAAUUGGUCAAGGUUUGCGAAAAAGUCAACUCGCUGGUCAAAGGUCAAUCCGGUCAACUCUUGAUCAGAAAUCGAUUUGACAUAACCGACCGGUUUACUUUAACCGAAUCGAAAUUAAUUUAAACCGGUCAAACCAGUCAACCAACCGGUUUACCGAGUCAACCGAGUUGACUCGCUGAGUUGACUCGGCCGAGUUGACCGAGUCACCGGCGAGUCACCGGUGUCGGUCACCGGCCGCGACGGCGGAGGGCGGCGGCGUCUUACCGGAAAGUUGGUCGGCGGCGACGGCGGAGCCGCGGCGGGGAACGGUGGCGGACGACGGCGGAGACGAUUUCCGGUGGCGGCGCGUUGAGUCCACGCGCUCGGUCGUCGUAACUUCUGGAGGCGCGUACAGCUUCGUCUGAGCUCCGAUUGCGGCGUGGUCGGUGUCUACAGAUUCGUCUCGACGAGAGGAACACGAUGAUGGUCUUGCAUGCACGAGAAUUUCAACGGUUAGGGAGAUAUAUCCGAUUUACUGAACGGACGAAAACAAAGCUUAAGAGGCGGCGGUUUCCGGCGAUUCCAAGCUGCGGUUGAUGGUGAUGACGAGCUUGACGAUGUCCUGACGUGUGAUGUCUCCGGCGAUCUCUGGUGGCAACAUGCAGUGGUUUCUAUCUUUCUUUCUCUUACUCUCUCUCUCUCUCACUUCUUCUUCUCUCUAACUUCUGAUUUUUAUUUUCUCUUGCAGGAGGAGAAAACAAUGAAGAUGAGGUAUUUAUAGACGAAUAUCUUGGGUCCUUAGGUAGUGCUUGGACUUUAGCUGGCUAACAAGUUCCGAGACUGGGAUCGGAUCGUUAC